rnacentral:tRNA from 1 species
GGAGUGAAGCUUGGUGGUAGAGCUCUUGCCUAACAAGCACAAGGUCAUGGGUUCCAUUGCCAGUACUACA